rnacentral:rRNA from 1 species
CACUCCUGCGGGAGGCAGCAGUGGGGAAUUUUGGACAAUGGGCGAAAGCCUGAUCCAGCAAUGCCGCGUGAGUGAAGAAGGCCUUCGGGUUGUAAAGCUCUUUUGUCAGGGAAGAAACGGUGAAAGCUAAUAUCUUUUGCUAAUGACGGUACCUGAAGAAUAAGCACCGGCUAACUACGUGCCAGCAGCCGCGGUAAUACGUAGGGUGCAAGCGUUAAUCGGAAUUACUGGGCGUAAAGCGUGCGCAGGCGGUUUUGUAAGUCUGAUGUGAAAUCCCCGGGCUCAACCUGGGAAUUGCAUUGGAGACUGCAAGGCUAGAAUCUGGCAGAGGGGGGUAGAAUUCCACGUGUAGCAGUGAAAUGCGUAGAUAUGUGGAGGAACACCGAUGGCGAAGGCAGCCCCCUGGGUCAAGAUUGACGCUCAUGCACGAAAGCGUGGGGAGCAAACAGGAUUAGAAACCCCAGUAGUCC